AUCGCGGAUCAGCAUGCCGCGGUGAAUACGUUCCCGGGCCUUGUACACACCGCCCGUCACACCACGAGAGUUUGUAACACCCGAAGUCGGUGGGGUAACCUUUAUGGAGCCAGCCGCCUAAGGUGGGACAGAUGAUUGGGGUGAAGUCGUAACAAGGUAGCCGUAUCGGAAGGUGCGGCUGGAUCACCUCCUUUCUAAGGA
rnacentral:rRNA from 1 species